UACGUAGGGGGCGAGCGUUAUCCGGAUUCACUGGGUGUAAAGGGAGCGUAGACGGCCAUGCAAGCCAGGGGUGAAAGCCCGGGGCCCAACCCCGGGACUGCCCUUGGAACUGCAUGGCUGGAGUGCGGGAGGGGCAGGCGGAAUUCCUGGUGUAGCGGUGAAAUGCGUAUAUAUCAGGAGGAACACCGGCGGCGAAGGCGGCCUGCUGGACCGCGACUGACGUUGAGGCUCGAAAGCGUGGGGAGCAAACAGG
rnacentral:rRNA from 1 species